rnacentral:rRNA from 1 species
GAUGAACGCUGGCGGCAUGCCUAACACAUGCAAGUCGAUCGGUAAGGCUCUUCCGAGUACACGAGAGGCGGACGGCUGCGUAACGCGUAGGCACACAACCUGCAGUGAGGGAUAAGACACCGACAGGUGUUCUAAUACCGCAUACGGUCUUCGGCUUCAAGCAUUUAUGCGCUGAAGGAGUGGCCUGCGUCAUAUUAGAUAGUUGGUGAGGUAAUGCCUCACCAAGUCGAUGAUGUGUAGCUGGUCUGAGAGGAUGAUCAGCCAGACUGGAACUGAGACACGGUCCAGACUCCUACGGGAGGCAGCAGUGAGGAAUAUUUCACAAUGAACGAAAGCUUGAUGGAGCAAUGCCGCGUGCAGGAUGAAGGCCCUCGGGUUGUAAACUGCUUUUAUAAGAGAAGAUUAUGACGGUAACUUAUGAAUAAGGGACGGCUAACUACGUG